rnacentral:rRNA from 1 species
GACGAACCGUGCGAACGUUGUUCGGAAUCACUGGGCUUAAAGGGCGCGUAGGCGGGCUGCCGCGUCCGCGGUGAAAUCCCCCGGCUCAACCGGGGAAGUGCCGCGGGUACGGGCGCCUCGAGGCGGGUAGGGGCGUGCGGAACACUGGGUGGAGCGGUGAAAUGCGUUGAUAUCCAGUGGAACUCCGGUGGCGAAGGCGGGUCGUCUGGGC